rnacentral:rRNA from 1 species
AGUGAACGCUGGCGGUAGGCCUAACACAUGCAAGUCGAACGGCAGCACAGUAAGAGCUUGCUCUUACGGGUGGCGAGUGGCGGACGGGUGAGGAAUACAUCGGAAUCUACUUUUUCGUGGGGGAUAACGUAGGGAAACUUACGCUAAUACCGCAUACGACCUACGGGUGAAAGCAGGGGAUCUUCGGACCUUGCGCGAUUGAAUGAGCCGAUGUGGGAUUAGCUAGUUGGCGGGGUAAAGGCCCACCAAGGCGACGAUCCGUAGCUGGUCUGAGAGGAUGGUCAGCCACACUGGAACUGGGACACGGUCCAGACUCCUACGGGAGGCAGCAGUGGGGAAUAUUGGACAAUGGGCGCAAGCCUGAUCCAGCCAUACCGCGUGGGUGAAGAAGGCGUUCGGGUUGUAAAGCCCUUUUGUUGGGAAAGAAAAGCAGCAGGUUAAUACCCCGCUGUUCUGACGGUACCCAAAGAAUAAGCACCGGCUAACUUCGUG